UGUGCUUCUUGGCAAUGGGUCUUGGUGUCAUUUUGGAUAGUUAUCUGAGAAAAUCCAUUCAAUGUGCAGCGGCAGUCAAAAAAGCAAACAGAAUGUUGGGAAUCAUUAAGAAAGGGAUAUAU